rnacentral:snoRNA from 1 species
CACACAUUUAUUGUGAUGAUCAACAAGGGACUUAAUACUGAUGUCUGAUGUCACCUUUGUAUUAUUCUGAAUGUGU